rnacentral:rRNA from 1 species
UACGUAGGGGGCAAGCGUUGUCCGGAAUCAUUGGGCGUAAAGAGCGUGUAGGCGGCCCGAUAAGUCCGCUGUGAAAGUCCAGGGCUCAACCCUGGAAUGCCGGUGGAUACUGUCGGGCUCGAAUCCGGAAGAGGUGAGUGGAAUUCCUGGUGUAGCGGUGAAAUGCGCAGAUAUCAGGAGGAACACCAAUUGCGAAGGCAGCUCGCUGGGACGUUACUGACGCUGAUGCGCGAAAGCGUGGGGAGCAAACAGG